rnacentral:rRNA from 1 species
AUUGAACGCUGGCGGCAGGCCUAACACAUGCAAGUCGAGCGGAUGAAGGGAGCUUGCUCCUGGAUUCAGCGGCGGACGGGUGAGUAAUGCCUAGGAAUCUGCCUGGUAGUGGGGGAUAACGUCCGGAAACGGGCGCUAAUACCGCAUACGUCCUGAGGCAGAAAGUGGGGGAUCUUCGGACCUCACGCUAUCAGAUGAGCCUAGGUCGGAUUAGCUAGUUGGUGGGGUAAAGGCCUACCAAGGCGACGAUCCGUAACUGGUCUGAGAGGAUGAUCAGUCACACUGGAACUGAGACACGGUCCAGACUCCUACGGGAGGCAGCAGUGGGGAAUAUUGGACAAUGGGCGAAAGCCUGAUCCAGCCAUGCCGAGUGUGUGAAGAAGGUCUUCGGAUUGUAAAGCACUUUAAGUUGGGAGAAAGGGCAGUAAGUUAAUACCUUGCUGUUUUGACGUUACCAACAGAAUAAGCACCGGCUAACUUCGUG